GAUGAACGCUGGCGGCGUGCCUAACACAUGCAAGUCGAGCGAACGGACGAGAAGCUGUCUUCUCUGAUUUUAUCGGCGGACGGGAGAUUAACACGUGGAUAACCUACCUCUACGACUGGGAUAACUUCAGGAAACCGGAGCUACUGCCCGAUGAUUUUUUGAACUUCAUGGUUCCAACGUUAAAGACGCUCUUGCUUUCGCUUAUAGCUUGAUCCGCGCUGCAUUAGCUAGUUGGCAAGGAAGCGGCUUAACAAGGCAACGAUGGAUACCCGACCUGAAAGGGUGAUCGGACACACGGGAACUGAGGAAGGUCACAGACUCCUACGGGAGGCAGCGGUAGGGAAUCUUCCGCGAGGGGCGAAAGGCUGACGGAGGAACGCCGGGGGAGUGAUGAAGGACUUAGGCUCGGAGAACUCUGUUAGUAGGGAAGAACAUAAGUGUAAGUAACUGUGCACAUCUUGACGGUACCUAAACAGAAAGCCACGGCUAACUACGUG
rnacentral:rRNA from 1 species